GAAUUCGCCCUUAGAGUUUGAUCCUGGCUCAGGACGAACGCUGGCGGCGCGCCUAACACAUGCAAGUCGAACGAGAGAGAGGGAGCUUGCUUCCUCAAUCGAGUGGCGAACGGGUGAGUAACGCGUGAGGAACCUGCCUCAAAGAGGGGGACAACAGUUGGAAACGACUGCUAAUACCGCAUAAGCCCACAGGUCGGCAUCGACCAGAGGGAAAAGGAGCAAUCCGCUUUGAGAUGGCCUCGCGUCCGAUUAGCUAGUUGGUGAGGUAACGGCCCACCAAGGCAACGAUCGGUAGCCGGACUGAGAGGUUGAACGGCCACAUUGGGACUGAGACACGGCCCAGACUCCUACGGGAGGCAGCAGUGGGGAAUAUUGCACAAUGGGGGAAACCCUGAUGCAGCGACGCCGCGUGGAGGAAGAAGGUCUUCGGAUUGUAAACUCCUGUUGUUGAGGAGGAUAAUGACGGUACUCAACAAGGAAGUGACGGCUAACUACGUGCCAGCAGCCGCGGUAAAACGUAGGUCACAAGCGUUGUCCGGAAUUACUGGGUGUAAAGGGAGCGCAGGCGGGAAGACAAGUUGGAAGUGAAAUCUAUGGGCUCAACCCAUAAACUGCUUUCAAAACUGUUUUUCUUGAGUAGUGCAGAGGUAGGCGGAAUUCCCGGUGUAGCGGUGGAAUGCGUAGAUAUCGGGAGGAACACCAGUGGCGAAGGCGGCCUACUGGGCACCAACUGACGCUGAGGCUCGAAAGUGUGGGUAGCAAACAGGAUUAGAUACCCUGGUAGUCCACACCGUAAACGAUGAUU
rnacentral:rRNA from 1 species